GGCUCGGUGGUGAAUGGUCCACACCUGCAAGUUGUGUUGAAAAUCCAUACAAAUUACCUUUUACGCAGGAGAAGCCUGUUCGAACCAGGCCCGAGCCA